rnacentral:misc_RNA from 1 species
UCCUGGUUUCCCAGGCAGUCUCACCAGAGUGCCCAACUAAAUGGUAGCAACUGGAGAUAGGAGUUGCGCUCGUUAAAGGACUUAACCCAACAUCUCACGACACGAGCUGACGACAGCCAUGCAGCACCUGUGCAAUUGUCUAGACCGAAGCCUAGAAGGACGUAUUUCUACGCAUGUCAAAAGCAUGUCAAACCUAGGUAAGGUUCCUCGCGUAGUGUCGAAUUAAACCACAUGUUCCACCGCUUGUGCGGACCCCCGUCAAUUUCUUUGAGUUUUAGUCUUGCGACCGUAGUCCCCAGGCGGAUCACUUAUCGCGUUAGCUACGAUACCAAUUCUGUUAAACAGUACUGACAUCUAGUGAUCAUCGUUUACAGCGUGGACUAC